AAAAAAAAAAAAAAAAAAAAAAAAAUCUAGAAUACACCAAUUAUAUUGAAUACGUGGCAUUUUCAAUCAAUAAAAUAAUUUUUUUAAGAUUAAUUCGACACAUCAUAAUUAUAAAAAUUAUUUUUACUUAUUUUUACAAAAAGAAGAGAUAUAAUUAAUUUGUUAUUAGUGAUGUGGUGCAAGUGUGAUACAGUAGAUUUUUUUCUCAACUGCAUACCGUUCUAUUAUAGAAAACUCUCUUAUAAAAAUUUAUUUUUUUUUACUUUUUUAAUCUAACUUUCAAAAACCUCAAUUUUAUUUCCUCAACGUUUUAAAUUAUAUUACAUUUAGCCUUCCUUCCGUUAGAAUUUUAUUACUAUUCUAUUCAUUUCUUAUAAUUUAUAUUAAAAAUACCUUUUAAAAUGACAUAAGCACAAUUGGAUCAUUUUGCUCUUUUUAUUACCGCCGUUUUUUUAAAAAAAUAUUUUUAAAAUUUUAAGGUGACAGAAUAUAGAUUUUUAAAAGUCAGAAAGUAAAAAUAAAAAAAUAAAUAUUUAUAAAAAUAUUUUUUAUAAUUUAA
rnacentral:lncRNA from 1 species